UACAGAGGGUGCUAGCGUUGUUCGGAUUCAUUGGGCGUAAAGGGUGCGUAGGUGGCGCCAUAAGUCAGGUGUGAAAUCUCGGGGCUCAACCCCGAAACUGCACUUGAUACUGUGGUGCUCGAGUACUGGAGAGGAGAUUGGAAUUUACGGUGUAGCAGUGAAAUGCGUAGAUAUCGUAAGGAAGACCAGUGGCGAAGGCGAAUCUCUGGACAGUUACUGACACUGAGGCACGAAGGCCAGGGGAGCAAACGGG
rnacentral:rRNA from 1 species